rnacentral:rRNA from 1 species
UGCCAGCAGCCGCGGUAAUACAGAGGGUGCAAGCGUUAAUCGGAAUUACUGGGCGUAAAGCGCGCGUAGGUGGUUUGUUAAGUUGAAUGUGAAAUCCCCGGGCUCAACCUGGGAACUGCAUCCAAAACUGGCAAGCUAGAGUAUGGUAGAGGGUAGUGGAAUUUCCUGUGUAGCGGUGAAAUGCGUAGAUAUAGGAAGGAACACCAGUGGCGAAAGCAGCGUACUGGGCAAUUACUGACACUCAAAAACGAAAGCGUGGGGAGCAAACGGGAUUAGAUA